rnacentral:rRNA from 1 species
GAUGAACGCUAGCGGCAGGCCUAAUACAUGCAAGUCGAGGGGCAGCAGGAAUAGCAAUAUUCGCUGGCGACCGGCGCACGGGUGCGUAACACGUAUACAAUCUGCCUCUAACAGGGGGAUAGCCCGGAGAAAUCCGGAUUAAUACCCCAUAACAGUGAUCUUGGCAUCAAGGACACUUAAAAGCUCCGGCGGUUAAAGAUGAGUAUGCUUCUGAUUAGCUAGUUGGUGAGGUAACGGCUCACCAAGGCGACGAUCAGUAGGGGAUCUGAGAGGAUUAACCCCCACACGGAUACUGAGACACGGAUCCGACUCCUACGGGAGGCAGCAGUAAGGAAUAUUGGACAAUGCCCGCAAGGGUGAUCCAGCCAUGCCGCGUGCAGGAAGACGGCCCUAUGGGUUGUAAACUGCUUUUACACCGGAGAAAACCCCACUACGUGUAGUGGGCUGAUAGUAUGGUGAGAAUAAGCAUCGGCUAACUUCGUGCCAGCAGCCGCCGUAA